AGUGAACGCUGGCGGUAGGCCUAACACAUGCAAGUCGAACGGCAGCACAGUAAGAGCUUGCUCUUACGGGUGGCGAGUGGCGGACGGGUGAGGAAUACAUCGGAAUCUACUUUUUCGUGGGGGAUAACGUAGGGAAACUUACGCUAAUACCGCAUACGACCUACGGGUGAAAGCAGGGGAUCUUCGGACCUUGCGCGAUUAAAUGAGCCGAUGUCGGAUUAGCUAGUUGGCGGGGUAAAGGCCCACCAAGGCGACGAUCCGUAGCUGGUCUGAGAGGAUGAUCAGCCACACUGGAACUGAGACACGGUCCAGACUCCUACGGGAGGCAGCAGUGGGGAAUAUUGGACAAUGGGCGCAGGCCUGAUCCAGCCAUACCGCGUGGGUGAAGAAGGCCUUCGGGUUGUAAAGCCCUUUUGUUGGGAAAGAAAAGCAGCAGGUUAAUACCCCGCUGUUCUGACGGUACCCAAAGAAUAAGCACCGGCUAACUUCGUG
rnacentral:rRNA from 1 species